CGUGCCUAACACAUGCAAGUCAACUUGACUGAAGGAGCAAUCUGACAGUAGAGUGGCGCAAGGGUGCGUAACGCGUAAGUAACUUGCCCCAAGGUAAGGAAUAACGUCGAGAAAUCGGCGCUAAUACCUCAUAAUGCAGCGGAUCCGCAUGGAUAUGUUGUUAAAGGUUUACCGCCUUGGGAUAGGCUUGCGUCUGAUUAGUUAGUUGGUGUGGUAACGGCACACCAAGGCUACGAUCAGUAACUGGUCUGAGAGGAUGAUCAGUCACACUGGAACUGAGACACGGUCCAGACUCCUACGGGAGGCAGCAGUGAGGAAUAUUGGGCAAUGCUCGAAAGAGUGACCCAGCAACGCCGCGUGGAGGAUGAAGGUAUUCUAUAUCGUAAACUCCUGUGAGAGCAGACGAAAGACAGAUUAUUAAUCUGGAUGACUGUAUGCUCAGAGGAAGCCCCGGCUAACUACGUG
rnacentral:rRNA from 1 species